rnacentral:tRNA from 1 species
GGCCUCUUCGUCUAGUGGUUAGGACACCAGGUUUUCAUCCUGGUAACAGGAGUUCGAUUCUCCUAGAGGCUACCA